UGACUUGUAGGCGUUGUUUUGAAGCUGUUUAGAACAUAUGGUGGAUUUGUAAUCUGUGUGGCAGCUGAUGUAUUCACACUUAAAAGAGGAUUCAUCACCAAU